rnacentral:rRNA from 1 species
UAAUACGGAGGAUCCAAGCGUUAUCCGGAAUCAUUGGGUUUAAAGGGUCCGUAGGCGGCCCGAUAAGUCAGCGGUGAAAUCUCCCGGCUCAACCGGGAAAUGGCCAUUGAUACUGUCGGGCUUGAAUUAUUGGGAAGUAACUAGAAUAUGUAGUGUAGCGGUGAAAUGCUUAGAGAUUACAUGGAAUACCAAUUGCGAAGGCAGGUUACUAUCAAUAUAUUGACGCUGAUGGACGAAAGCGUGGGUAGCGAACAGGAUUAGAUACCCUGGUAGUCCACGCCGUAAACGAUGGAUACUAGCUGUUGGGAGCAAUCUCAGUGGCUAAGCGAAAGUGAUAAGUAUCCCACCUGGGGAGUACGUUCGCAAGAAUG